GGAGGGGAAGGGAGCAGCGUCUCUGAUUUCUAUCGGAGGUGCAUUAUGUAAAAUGUGCCCAGGUCAUGAACGCUCAAGGCUGGAGAAAUUUCUCUGUGUCAGACUGCAGAGGUGCACCUCCCACAGCCUGAAGGAAUGAACUUCCAGGAGGAAAAAUGCUCAAUAGCACAUGGGCAGUCAUGACUUAGUAACAGUCAGAAGAACCAACUUAAGACAGACACAUUUCCAUCAUCUCUUAUCUCACAACAGUCUCCACGUUUUCUUUGGUGUGUCCUUUUCAAAAUGGAGAGUUAAUAACUAGGUCAGCUUCAAUAAGAAAGGGGUGGAAUAUCUGCCAAGAGGUUAUUUAUUCUGUCCUUAACAAUACCUGCAUCUCCCCAAGAACAGUGCCGUGAGUCGAGCACCUCCACCCACAGGCACUCCACCUUCAUUAGGCAGAUUUUCUCAGGAGUUCUGAGAAAAUUCUUAGGGAUUCUGAGAAGAUUCAAAGAGAACUUUGCUGUUCCUUAACACCUCUAGCUGCAGUGCUGAACCUGCCUACAAAGACACAUCCCUCUGAGGAGACCAAAAGAGAAUGUAUUUCCUAGGAGAAAUAAAUGAGUGGGAUCCUCAUACUGCUUCUGAGCUUUUUCUAAAGCAAAACUGCUUCUUAUGGCAAGAGACACACUGAGAACAUGAGCUCACUUCAGUUUGGACCAGAGGAUAGUAAUAAACCAUGGAGGGAAGCAGCUGAUUUGGAAUGGAACCAGGCUGAGCAGAUGACUGACAGCGAACCUCACACUAAACACUUGGUCAGACUUACUGCAACAUUUUCCUCCUUGAUGGUGUUGAUGGCUCUAAUGGCAUCAGCAGACUGCCCUCAGCCUUGAGGCAGAGGCCAGCAUCAUGCACAGCUCUCUAAAGGGACAGGAUAGAGUGGAGGAGGUGCACACUGCACCCUUGGACACAGUGGUGGCAGCCCAGGAGGUGUCAGCCAGAGCUGAACGUAGCCAAGAAGGUCGCUGUGCAGAGACACAGGUCACAGCACUUAUCUUCCCUGAUGGCUCAGCAUUCGGGGUAAAUGCUGUCUCUGUCACUCCCCCUGGCUGUAAGUCACUGUCAGAUCCUUCCCCACUGGCUGAUGGACAGCUUGGUGACACUCUCCAAGCCUGUCAGGACUUGUGGUGCUGUUACUGCUCACUAAAGGAAAGAGGAGACAGAGCUCUGGUACCCGGGUUUGCUUUCCCACUUACAGAACCAGGAAGAGAUACUCUGUCCUUCUUUCAGAAAUACUUUGCUGAUGAACUAUUGCCAAUAAGGUGAACAAAUAAAUCUCAGAAGCCUCUGAAAGGUGAUCCCCCAAAACUGGCUUAACAAUGGCUUGUCUGCCCUUUUUGGAAGGAGCAAAUGUAUGCAAAGAUCUGUAUAUUACUGCAGAAAUAUCCUGCUGGGAAAAGGCUGCAUAAGUUCUGGCCACCAUGUAAACCCCACACUGAAGACUCUCUUGGGAAGAAGAAAAGACUCAAAAUGUUGUGCUGGCUCUCUAAGUGAAGGAGGUUCAUGCUUGGAAGAACCUCAGCUAAAACUCCUGAAGAGGAGCAUUCCCCUACUUUAACAGGAAAGUGCAAUAGGAAUGGAGAUCAAUUUAAGCUGUACUGUGCAAAGAGGGGAGAAAUCUGGUGAUGGUCCUACAAAUGUCAUUUACAAGGCUCCUGUCCAUGGUGAUGCAUCGUCAGUUCUUCUCUGUGAAAACCUCUGCCCCCCCAUGCCACGUGUGCUCGUCUCUUCCCUUAGUGCUCGCCUAAUUUGGAAGCAGAAAAAGAAAAGGCUAAAGGCUCUGCUGGAGUGACUCCAUUGACUCCCAUGGCUUUCGUGGGCUUCAAUUUGCAAAACAGACAGGAGAAGAGAAAACCCUUCCUCCACCUCUCUCCUCUGCAAUUCUUGAAAGUGACAUCUGUGCAGUGCUGCAGGAAAGAUUACACAUCUUAGUCUUAUUUUUUUUUACCCUGCCACUCCCAAUUUGCUCAUGCCCACUAUCAUAAUAUUAAUUUUUAGCAAGGAGAAGAGUAAGGAGUGCUCCCCUGGGCCAGCGUGGUGGUUGUGGUACGGAGCAGCCCAGGGGAGGGCACAGGCAGAGGUGAUGCUGCUCCAACGGGACCAGAUCUGCCUUUCUCACCAAGGACCAGGGCACCUAUCCUGGGAAUCUGGGAAUGUGUGCAGAGCAGUCCCUGCCCACCCCUCAGCACACAGUGUGGCACCGCUCUGUCUUGCCACCACUCCUCCUUCCCACCCCGACUCUGCCUCACCUCCCCCGGACCCACUUCCCUUCUCGAAAAAUCCAUCCAUUUAUUUCCAAUUACAAACCACACCACAUAACACAAACAUAAUUGCUUAAAAGUUGUUCCACAUUUGAUUCACAUGCAUUAUGCAUCCUGUAAAUUAUGUACGACCUCCUCUUUUUUUUUUUUUUUUUGAGGAGUAUUAUUGUAGUUCCCUCUCUUGAUAUAAGGAUAGUUUUUACAGUUAGAAUCAAAACCUAAUUCAUUUACAAUACCUGUCUCCUGAGGAUCACAACAUAAUGACAUUGGAACAGUAAAAAGACUACACAGGGUUUUCACUUCAAUCACAGCUGUUCUAUAAAGAAAAGAAACUUACAGAAACCACCAAGAGAGAUGGUGAUUUAUAUCCAGUAGGAUACAAUAUAGCUGAAGAUGACUUUCUUGCUUAAACAAGGAGGGAAAAAAUGAACUCAUAUGUAUGAUGUAAAUAGACUUAACCAUGGGUGGCUGUGGUUUACUAUAAAUAUUCAAUUCAUUAUGGCUGCAGAGACGUACAGCUCCUACUGUGUGCUGGUGUUCUUGCCUGUAUCUGUCACUUGCUUGUGUUUGUCAUAAGCCAGAACCCUCUUUAUGGUGACCCCCCCCACUGCUUUUUUUUUCCUACUGGUCCAGGAAUCAACACAUUUGGGAUUUUUUUUUUUUUUUUUUUUUUUUAAGCUUUGGACCUCUUAACAGUAAAGAUCUCAUUGAAGGAGCUUUUUCAGCAAUGGAAAAAAAAACCAUGGGCCUGCGAGUUUGGAUCCCGUGAUGCAUCGCUCCUUGAAGUUACAUCUGCUCUUCUCUUUCAUCUCUCCUCUUGUUAACUGGGAGCUGUCACAUUAGGAGUUUUGGUGGAAGUGGCAUAAAGGAAGGAAAGAGAGACUGAUACACUGUGUCAUGACAAAACAGGCAGAGUAAGAGUGCCUUUGCAGUCACCUAUCAUCCAUGGACUACGUGCUGCUGGCCCAAAGCAUCAGCUGUCCUGGUUUUUGUUUUUUUUUUUUUUUCCUUACGCUCCAUGGAUGGUAAAGAUCCAAGCAAUGAAGUCAUGAUAGGUAGCUAUCAGCAGAAACCACUAAAAAAGCAAAUUCUGAGUCUGACCUCAUGUUGGAUGAAAAAGGGAAGAAUGCAGCAUGUGAAGCAACCCAUGAGAGUAUCCACUUCAG